GAGAUGUAGUAGGGCAUUUCCUGGACGGAUUUGACGUAGAAGGAGUGGAGGGAGCCGUCGUUGUCUUCGGCGGCGAAGCCGACCUUGCCGGCCUUGAGGUUGGUGAUGUUGACGUAGCCGGCGGUGCCGGAGGCUGAGCCGGUGGCCUGGAACAUGGAGGAGACGAGGGUGGUGCUGUUGUUGAUCUGGUGGAGCUUUUUGGCGCCGAAGUAGUCGACGAGGACGUGGAGGGAGAGGACGUUUUUGAUGGUGGGGAGGGAGAGGUGCUUGUCGAGGAGGGAGGACAUGGCGGCAUUGUCGAGGGCCAGGACGGUGAUGGUCUGGCGGCGGUUGAUCUCUUCGGCGAGGUGGGUGAGGGAGAGAUAGUGGUUGAAGGUGGAGAAGCCGGGGUGUUUGGCAAGCAUGCGGGUGAUGUUGUGGGCGGGGACGCUGGCGGCGGCGGAGGCUAAGAAGAGGAAGAAGAAGAGAAAGAAGAGGUUGUUCAUUUUGUUUGAAAGCAGAGAGUAGAGAAGAGAGGAGUGUGUGGGUUUAUAACUAAAGGCAUAGUAUGACAAACAAUGGCAGGUUGGAGAUGGA
rnacentral:lncRNA from 1 species